rnacentral:rRNA from 1 species
GGGGGCUAGGGUUGCUCGGAAUCACUGGGCGUAAAGGGUGCGUAGGCGGGUCUUUAAGUCAGGGGGGAAAUCCUGGAGCUCAACCUCGGAACUGCCUUUGAUACAGCAUAUCUUGAGUCCGAUAGAGGUGGGUGGAAUUCCUAGUGUAGAGGUGAAAUUCGUAGAUAUUAGGAAGAACACCGGUGGCGAAGGCGGCCCACUGGAUCGGUACUGACGCUGAGGUGCGAAAGCGUGGGGAGCAAACAGG